GACGGGCCCGGCACCCGGCCGCCAUUUCCGCGCUGCCCCCGGACCGCGUGCCGCCGGCUGGCGGAGGAGCCUCGGUGCCGUGGCAGCCCGUGGGUUCCUUUGUCCGUGGCUCCAGGACGGGGUGAUGAAGGACACGACACGCCGAGGGGUUACGAUAUUUCUGUUGCUGCCUUAGCAGUCCUGUACCAUCCCUGGUGAUGACCACUGAGUCACACUCUGCUAAGCAGGCUGCUCCUGCGAUCUCCAGCAGAUUCAUCGAGCUGGCAACAUGAUGACAGAGCUGUUUGGUACCCAUAGAGUCUCACUUGCGCGGUGUCCAAGUACCUCAUGUUUGACUCAUUGAAUCUGUCCUUGCAGCAUGCCUGUGAGAUGAUUGUGAAGUCCCUGCGACCCAAGUUAUGGGGCUCUUGUGCCAUCUGAGGUGGUACAGCUAAUCCUGGUGCCAGAAUACGGAGUGGUUUGAACAGCUGGGGCGGAAGCUGUUGGUGGGGAGUGGUGUGGUGGGGCUGUCACACCAUGACAGUGUUUCCAGCAGAACCCUUUGGUUCACCUGGCAGUCUGUCUGCGGGAAAGGUGUUCUUGGUGGGUGGGGGUUCAGACAUCCUAAUACCCCUGAUCUCAUACUUGUGUGUUUUACUUUCAGAUGUCUCUCUCUAAUUGUAAAGAAGAUUGUGGCACUUGAUUUUGGCAGGUAAAAGUAAAACGUGCUCCAGUGGGUGGAAGUUGGACCCAGAAUCAAGGUAUAUGUUUUUAUGCAAAGAGGAAAAAAAAAAGUGUUACAACAACUUGGGGUGUGGUGCUAUCUCACCACUGGCAGAGGAGCUGUACACUGUAGCUGCUGUUCUCUGGUACAGACUUCCAAUGUCAGCAGGCUCACCUGGCCACCUUGUGCCCUGGGCCUUGGUGGUUGCCUGAGUCACCUGUCUCUAGCAGACACGCGUUGUUGUGCUCGCUGCAAGGAACAGCAACUGAAAUUCUCUGGACUGCCUCACAGGAGGUGUGACAAGGCAAUCAUAACAACCCUUUCUGCUUUAGAAAUCUGAACUGGUAGGCUAUGAAGCUAUACUUGCAUAGUUCAGUGUUGCUAAGCCCAUCUUCUUUUGUGGUUUGCAAAACAAAUCAAUACUCAAGAGACUAAUCCUGCCAUAGCAGGAUAUUCAGCUCCUGUGUGCCUGUUUUUCUGCAAAGCCUGUUUGGGAGAGAUGCAUUUCUUCUCUCUCUCUCAGCCAUUUAGGAAAGGACAAGCUUUUGGCACACAGUUUACACCAAGUCUCUUCAAGUUUUGCCAGGCUCUCUUUAUUCAUAUGGGCCCUGUAUAUUGUAGGGACUACCUGUUCCUGACUAACCCCUAGAAUGGAAAUUUUGGACCAAUGAUUUUUUGUAAUGAACAUAUAAUAAAUUUAUGGAAAAGCUUC